CUCAUGUUAAUGAGAUGCAUCCUCACGUUAAUGAGGUGCAUCCUCGUGUUAAUGAGGUGCAUCCUCGUGUUAAUGAGAUGCAUCCUCAUGUUAAUGAGAU